UUCUGCCUACGGGGCGCAGCAGUGGGGAAUAUUGCACAGUGGGGGAAACCCUGAUGCAGCGACGCCGCGUGAGUGAAGAAGUAUUUCGGUAUGUAAAGCUCUAUCAGCAGGGAAGAAAAUGACGGUACCUGACCAGGAAGCCCCGGCUAACUACGUGCCAGCAGCCGCGGUAAUACGUAGGGGGCAAGCGUUAUCCGGAUUUACUGGGUGUAAAGGGAGCGUAGACGGCUGAGCAAGUCAGAAGUGAAAGCCCGGGGCCCAACCCCGGGACUGCUUUUGAAACUGUUAUUCUAGAGUAUGGGAGA
rnacentral:rRNA from 1 species